rnacentral:rRNA from 1 species
AUUGAACGCUGGCGGCAGGCCUAACACAUGCAAGUCGAGCGGAGCGGCGGACGGGUGAGUAAUGCCUAGGAAGCUGCCUGGCUGUUGGGGAUAACGUCCGGAUACAGGCGCUAAUACCUCACACUAUCAGAUAAGUGUAGGUCGGAUUGGUUAGUUGGUGGGGUAAAGGCCUACCAAGGCGACGGUCCGUAGCUGGUCUGAGAGGAUGAGUAGCAACACUGGAACUGAGACCCGGUCCAGACUCCUACGGGAGGCAGCAGUGGGGAAUAUUGGACAAUGGGCGCAAGCCUGAUCCAGCCAUGCCGCGUGUGUGAAGAAGGUCUUCGGAUUGUAAAGCACUUUAAGUUGGGAGGCGUUACCAACAGAAGAAGCACCGGCUAACUUCGUGCCAGCAGCCGCGGUAAUUC